rnacentral:rRNA from 1 species
UACGGGGGGGGCAAGCGUUGUUCGGAAUUACUGGGCGUAAAGGGCUCGUAGGCGGCCCACUAAGUCAGCCGUGAAAUCCCUCGGCUUAACCGGGGAACUGCGUCUGAUACUGGAUGGCUUGAGUUUGGGAGAGGGAUGCGGAAUUCCAGGUGUAGCGGUGAAAUGCGUAGAUAUCUGGAGGAACACCGGGGGCGAAGGCGGCAUCCUGGGCCAACACUGGCGCUGAGUGAGCGAAAGCCAGGGGAGCAAACGGG